AAACAACAGGUGUAGACUAACAGUGAAAUGCUGACGGGCCCUUCCCAACAAUGUAGAGAGAAACAACAGGUGUAGACUAACAGUGAAAUGCUGACGGGCCCUUCCCAACAAUGUAGAGAGAAACAACAGGUGUAGACUAACAGUGAAAUGCUGACGGGCCCUUCCCAACAAUGUAGAGAGAAACAACAGGUGUAGACUAACAGUGAAAUGCUGACGGGCCCUUCCCAACAAUGUAGAGAGAAACAACAGGUGUAGACUAACAGUGAAAUGCUGACGGGCCCUUCCCAACAAUGUAGAGAGAAACAACAGGUGUAGACUAACAGUGAAAUGCUGACGGGCCCUUCCCAACAA